ACAAGUGAAGCAACUGCGCAAGGGUCUAAAAGAGACUCAUCUCUGGCAUCUCAUGACAGAAAAACCUGAUGUGGUACCCUUAAUUUUUCCAAGGGAGAAGGAUGCCUCAUUGACUUCAGAGGCCAUUCUACGUGUAAUUACCUGGCCCAGUGCUACAGAUGACGACUCUGAAGAUGAAUGUCCAGUCGAAACUACAAGUCGCAUAACAGGAUACCUUCGUGAAUUUAUUGAGAAUGCAUCCAGCAAUGACCGGAAAGAACUGCUGCGUUUUUGGACUGGAUGGGAGGUCUUGCCCCGUGAACUCAUUGUCGCGAUGACUUCAUCAAA